GUGGGGAAUUUUGGACAAUGGGCGAAAGCCUGAUCCAGCCAUGCCGCGUGUGUGAAGAAGGUCUUCGGAUUGUAAAGCACUUUAAGUUGGGAGGAAGGGCAGUAAGUUAAUACCUUGCUGUUUUGACGUUACCGACAGAAUAAGCACCGGCUAACUUCGUGCCAGCAGCCGCGGUAAUACGAAGGGUGCAAGCGUUAAUCGGAAUUACUGGGCGUAAAGCGCGCGUAGGUGGUUUUGUAAGUUGGAGGUGAAAUCCCCGCGCUCAACCUGGGAACUGCCUCCCAAACUGCAUGACUAGAGUACGGUAGAGGGUAGUGGAAUUUCCUGUGUAGCGGUGAAAUGCGUAGAUAUAGGAAGGAACACCAGUGGCGAAGGCGACUACCUGGACUGAUACUGACACUGAGGUGCGAAAGCGUGGGGAGCAAACAGGAUUAGAAACCCCUGUAGUCC
rnacentral:rRNA from 1 species